UGUUAAAAACAGACCGAAGGAUUAGAAACUGUUUCAUCUCCACAGCUCAUUUUGUGAGGAUGCAAGUCUGCCUGAGAUGACAUUCCCUAUGGAGAAGUUGACAUCAGCAGAGAGUGACUGUAUCAUACACACUGCACAGGGGCUAGGUCUGGAGGUCACCACAAGACAGAUGGGACCAGACAAGCAACUGCGAGUGAGGAAGAAGACUUCUGGGGGAGCCUAGAGAUUUUCUUUAGUAGCUGAAGGCAGUUCUUGUACUCGAGUGCAUCUGCCCUUGUGAAAGAAAAACUUGAAGCCAUUCCCUUGCCACAUUCCUUUUACAAAAUUAUCACUGAUUCUGUCAGGCACUGGUUCAGAUGACAAGAGACAGCUUAGUGUAACUGGUGCUAGACAGCACUCAAUACAUAGUUUCUAUAAUUGCAAAGUGUGCCAAAGUUAGAAAAUGCAGGAAGGACUUCUAGCAGUACUACUAGACUGCGGUACUGCAUACAGUACUGUUUAUUUGUUGCCAUACUAAUGUUGCCAUACUGAUGUUUUGUUAAGACUUUUUUAGUUUUUGGUAUCGAACUCUUAUUUUUCUAUACACUGUUUAACUUGAAAAGCUAGUUUUUAGUUUAACAUAGUUGACCACAUACUAUCCAUGUAGCUAGAGGGUAUGUGUCCAUAUAACAUAAUGAUUGUGUAUUUAGUUUUGUAAAAUUGCAACUCAGUGAAAGUUGCAAUUAUGGUGCUCCUAGAAGUAUCUUUUUUUUAUGACAAAGUAACUUUUUGUUUAUUUUUCUAACAAAGAUGGGUUAUAGUGUUGGUAAGUAGAAAAAGACUUGUAAACAUGAAAAGUUGACAGUAGAACUAGAAAGGGCAGUUACUGUAUUGUUUGCGAUAUCAUUAGAAAUGACCAUGACAAUUUUAAAGUGGAAAGCAAUCAGUUGAAGCCAUGCAUGAGUGGAAAAUACAGUAUGACAUGACAUCUGAAGCUGAUCUUGUGUGAACUUAAUCAAGAAGAUAUGAUGUUGGAUAGAACAAAAUACAAGCAGAGACUUUGAUUCAUACAUCAUACAUGUAUAUUCAUUGCAACAUUGAAUAUAAAAGCUAAAUAGAGCAAGA